rnacentral:sRNA from 1 species
CGGCGGGGAUCGCAGGGAGCCGGUCCGCCGCCGGAACGGGAGCCUGGGUGUGCGUGUGGAGUCGGGACUCGUGGGAGACGAUCGCGAUGAACACGGUGCUGUCGCGGGCGAACUCACUGUUCGCCUUCUCGCUGAGCGUGAUGGCGGCGCUCACCUUCGGCUGCUUCAUCACCACCGCCUUCAAAGACAGGAGCGUCCCGGUGCGGCUGCACGUCUCGCGGAUCAUGCUGUGAGUGAGGCCGGGCUGGCGGUGCAGGACGCCGGGACCGGGCUGGGGCGGAAGCCGAAGCCGGGCCGCCGCGCCGGGGCUGCCGUGCCGGGGCCGCGGGCAGGGCGUCCGGAUCGCCCUCCUGAGCGGCAGUUCGCCCCCGAGGGCGGUCGUCAAGGGGUGGACGUCGCAGGCUUUUCCGGCGUCCCCUCGGAACUUGCACCCCUCCACCGUAAAUUCCCGGGCUUGCUCUUAAAUUUUAAUUUUGAGCCUUCCUCAGGUCGGUGCCUCCGCUUGCUUCCUGUUCCUCACUUCCCUCCACCCACGCCUGGCCAAUGAGGGAGCAACACAACAGCAGAGCCGGCGCCGCCGCCCGCCUGGGCUGGCGCCUCCCGCGCGUCCGGUGCUGCUCGUGGUCCGCAUGCGAGGCCCUCCAGGCGCUGCCGCCGCGCUCUGGGUCGGGCUUCCGUGGGGUUUCCUGGCGGCUCUGGAGGCCACAGGACGGGGUUGUCUUUGUGUCAUUCAUCACCCGAGUUUGCCCUGUUUGACAUUCCCUUUACAGUUGUUGCCUUUGCACCUUCAGAAGGCAGUAAACAGUUGGAGCUGCUUUGAAGUUGGCCAGAGAUGUUGGGCACUGAGAGAAUUAAGCAUCUUAGCCUUCUGAUACAGCGAGAUUUUUGUUUUGUUGGGUUUCUUUCUUUCUUUUUCUUUUGCCAACCACUUGAAGAAGUCUGCGAAAACGCCAAAAAAUGCAGUUCGAAAUGACAGUGCCAUUUCGCUAUUGCCUAUUUUGUCCUUGAUUUUAUCCUCUGGCACUUUUGUCUUUAAUCGUCGUAUUUAUUUUUCCAUCUCUUGUUCUCAUACUCUUCUACUCUAUUUCCAUCUUCCACAAGUUCUUUAACCUUAGUUUAUUUCUUUGUCAGAAUCGCCAAGAAGCCAGUCAUCAAAUAGCGAGCCUUCUCCCCUCACCUUUUUUUUUUUUUUUAAAUUACUGUACUGAUGUUUGUUAGAUAUUGUUCGAAUAGACCUGGGGUGGAAAUCAGCACUGCCAUUGUCAGCCCUAUGAGGGUUAGAAGAGCUUGGUGCAUAUUAAACACUGAACAGAUGUUAGCUGUUGUUGUCUUGAGCAAGUUUUCUUACCAUUCUGGGCCUUAAUUUCUUUUUGUUUAAGAUGGAAGUAAUACCUAAUUGGUAGGUUGUGAGAAUUAUUUGAAAUGUGAAAAAUAUUGUCAGUGGGUCUGAGCCGUAGUAAACAGUAAAUAGCAGCUGGUUACAGUAGUAUCCCCUUAAUGGGGUAGGUAUACGUUCCAAGACCCCCAGUGGAUGGCUGAAACCACGGAUAGCACUAAACCCUAUAUAUACUUGUUUUUUUCCUAUACCGUACAUACAUACCUACCUAUGAUAAAACUUACAAGUUAAGCACAAUAAGAGAUUAACAAUAACAUAAUAGAACUGUAACAAUAUACUAUAAUAAAAGUUAUGUGAAUAUGAUCUCUUUCCCCUUCUCUCAAAAUAACUUAUUUUACUGGACUCACCUAUUUUCACACCAGAUUGACCGCGGAUAAUUGAAACCGGAAAGUGAAACCUCGGAUAAGGGGGUGAUUACUGUUAUCAUCCUUUAAUAUGCCAUCUGUUAGUAUUCGUAUCACCUUGUAGUCAUGUGUAGCUUUCUUCUACCCAUUCUGCAAAAUUGCUUUACAUCAAGUAUUUACUAUUCCUUUUAGCAGUUUUUAUCCCCUUGUGAGCUUUGUUAGGGAUUCUCUUGAGGUAUAUGCAAUUAGCUGAAGACCUACUUUAAUAUUGGAUUAGAAUGUUUCUCCUGUUUUCACACUUACAGGUUUCUCUGGUGUUUACUCGUUUCUUUGUGGGAUUGCAGUUUCACCUGUGCACACACCUGUAUUCUUUCUCUUUAAGAAGUUACGUGAAUUGUGUAUGUUCUGUUGGAAGGAUGGUAAAACUUUUAUCUUUAUUCCUAGAAAAAAUGUAGAAGAUUUCACUGGACCUAGAGAAAGAAGUGAUCUGGGAUUUAUCACAUUUGAUAUAACUGCUGAUCUAGAGAAUAUAUUUGAUUGGAAUGUUAAGCAGUUAUUUCUUUAUUUAUCAGCAGAAUAUUCAACAAAAAAUAAUGCUCUGAACCAAGUUGUCCUAUGGGACAAGAUUGUUUUGAGAGGUGAUAAUCCGAAGCUGCUGCUGAAAGAUAUGAAAACAAAAUAUUUUUUCUUUGACGAUGGAAAUGGUCUCAAGGGAAACAGGAAUGUCACUUUGACCCUGUCUUGGAACGUCGUACCAAAUGCUGGAAUUCUACCUCUUGUGACAGGAUCAGGACACGUAUCUGUCCCAUUUCCAGAUACAUAUGAAAUAACGAAGAGUUAUUAAAUUAUUCUGAAUUUGAAACAACAUAUUUUUAUACUUAAUGAAUUGUAUCUCAUUAAUCUCUUCCCUUACAUCUUCA